rnacentral:lncRNA from 1 species
UAAUUUUCAGCAUAGUGUUAUACUGUCUUUUGUUUCGAGUAGUCAUAUAUUUAUGUUCUUGGCUCGUACAUCAAAGAAUACAUGACCAAUGUACUGCAGAAUUUAAAAACCUUGUACUAAAACUUUGAUUUUAUAAAGGGGUCUAUUGUUUUAUGUGCCGUGCGAGUUUUAUAUUGCUUUACUUUACCUUUCAUUUUCGUCACUGUUUCCAAUUUCCAAACAAACAAAGCAUAAGAUAACUAGCUCAUCUAUUGGAAGGACACUAUACUGGCUGAGAUAAUGGAUCUGACACCUUUUUGACUGUUUCAAAUUCUUAAUUAUAAAUUAAAUUCUUCAGUUAGUAAUGCAAUGGCCUUCUUCUGUCGAGUGUUGAAGAUAGCAUUAUGCGUCUUUUUUUUGUACUAUGGUUACGAGUAUUCUAUUUUGAUUCAUCAGUCUCACAUGGUGCUUGUGUACUGCAGAAUUUAAAAACCUUGUACUAAAACUUUGAUUUUAUAAAGGGGUCUAUUGUUUUAUGUGCCGUGCGAGUUUUAUAUUGCUUUACUUUACCUUUCAUUUUCGUCACUGUUUCCAAUUUCCAAACAAACAAAGCAUAAGAUAACUAACUCAUCUAUUGGAAGGACACUAUACUGGCUGAGAU